rnacentral:rRNA from 1 species
AUUGAACGCUGGCGGAAUGCUUUACACAUGCAAGUCGAACGGUAACAGGUUAAGCUGACGAGUGGCGAACGGGUGAGUAAUACAUCGGAGCGUGCCCAGUCGUGGGGGAUAACGUAGAGAAAUUUACGCUAAUACCGCAUACGAUCUAAGGAUGAAAGCGGGGGACCGUAAGGCCCCGCGCGAUUGGAGCGGCCGAUGGCAGAUUAGGUAGUUGGUGGGGUAAAGGCCUACCAAGCCGACGAUCUGUAGCUGGUCUGAGAGGACGACCAGCCACACUGGGACUGAGACACGGCCCAGACUCCUACGGGAGGCAGCAGUGGGGAAUUUUGGACAAUGGGCGCAAGCCUGAUCCAGCCAUUCCGCGUGCAGGAUGAAGGCCCUCGGGUUGUAAACUGCUUUUGUACAGAACGAAAAGGUCUGGGUUAAUACCCUGGGCUCAUGACGGUACUGUAAGAAUAAGCACCGGCUAACUACGUGCCAGCCGCCGCCGUAA